CACGUAGGGAGCAAGCGUUGUCCGGAUUUAUUGGGCGUAAAGAGCUCGUAGGUGGUUCGGUAAGUCAGGUGUGAAACCUCCAGGCUCAACCUGGAGACGCCACUUGAUACUGCUGUGACUGGAGUCCGGUAGGGGAGCGUGGAAUUCCUGGUGUAGCGGUGAAAUGCGCAGAUAUCAGGAGGAACACCAGCGGCAAAGGCGGCGCUCUGGGCCGGUACUGACACUGAGGAGCGAAAGCGUGGGUAGCAAACAGG
rnacentral:rRNA from 1 species